GUCUAGAUAGACAAUGGCUAGAGAGAUAGUAACCAAGUCUGGUAAUUCUUACCUCUGUAGGUAAAGAUGGCAAGCUCCUUGUUUCAUACACUGUCACCACUACUUCACCAGACUGGAGUUUUUUUUUUUCCUUUUUUUUUUUUUUUUUGAAAAACAAACCCCAGCACAGAUGGCAUAUCCUGUUGCAGCAUUGCUGUUUCAGGCCCUUCAUGAAUCACUUGAGUAGUGGUGAAGCUGUCCCAGAACUGAAGCUAACUGAUUGGGAGCAAGAUACUGAAACAUAACCUCAGCCAUAUGGAGCGCAAGUGAAACAUGAUAUUGAUGGAGAUCAUCUGAGUAACUGGGAAAAGGAAAUGCUGCCACGGCACCUGCCACCAGCUGAAGGCUGGAAGAGCAGCCACCACGUCGCUCCCAGCAUGUCUUGCUCAACUGUGUGCAGGGGAGGGAAAGAAACCAGAGGGGGAAGAAUUAUGGCAGCAGGUAAGCGAUACCCCAUCCCCGGUAAUCCUCCUGCUUUUGGUAAAUUUGCGGAUCCAGACAAGUGUA
rnacentral:lncRNA from 1 species